UGGGUUUGUUAAUUUUUAUUUGCAUUAAUGAAUUAAAGCUCCAUAGGAUCUUCUCAUCUUAUUUGUUUAUAUCCGCCUCUUCAUGGAUAGGUCAAUUUCACUGAUUAAAAG